AUACGCCUACGGGGGGCAGCAGUGAGGAAUAUUGGUCAAUGGGCGGGAGCCUGAACCAGCCAAGUCGCGUGAGGGAUGACGGCCCUAUGGGUUGUAACCCUCUUUUGCCGGGGAGCAAAGUGCCGCACGUGUGCGGUUUGGAGAGUACCCGGAGAAAAAGCAUCGGCUAACUCCGUGCCAGCAGCCGCGGUAAUACGGAGGAGGCGAGCGUUCUCCGGAUUUAUUGGGUUUAAAAGGUGCGUAGGCGGACGCUUAAG
rnacentral:rRNA from 1 species